rnacentral:rRNA from 1 species
GACGAACGCUGGCGGCGUGCCUAAUACAUGCAAGUCGAACGCAGGGGGGACGGGUGAGUAACACGUGGGUAACCUCCCAUCAGAGGGGAUAACACUUGGAAACUGGUGCUAAACCGAUACUGAUGGAUGGACCCGCUGUGCAUUAGCUAGUUGGUGAGGUAACUGCUCACCAAUGCCACGAUGCAUAGCUGACCGGAGAGGAUGAUCAGCCACAAUGGAACUGAGACACGGCCCAGACUCCUACGGGAGGCAGCAGUGGGGAAUAUUCGGCAAUGGACGAAAGUCUGACAGAGCAACGCCGCGUGAAUGAAGAAGGUUUUCGGAUCGUAAAGCUCUGUUGUUAGAGAAGCGGUAUCUAACCAGGAAGCCACGGCUAACUACGUGCCAGCAGCCGCGGUAAUAC